GGAGCAGACGUACUGGAUGGGACCAGACGUAAUCAGGCGUCUAGUCUAUCAUCGUUCAGGCAAUCUUUGGCCGAGUUUUCUUGGGGACAGACGGACACAGAACAGCACAAAAGGAAUUACAACAUAUGAAGGAUGGGAAGAUGACCCCACCAGACCCCACAGCUUGUCAUGAGAACAAGUUACACAGACGGAUGCUGUUCAAACAGUUUUCCUGAACAGCGAGCUCUACAAGGCGACAACGACAACAGUCACAAGAAAUUAAUAGUUGAACUUGGACGGCAAUCAGAUUGAUAGUAACCGUAGCUUUACAAUGCAUCACAAUCUAUCACCUCAACGAAACGGAAGUCAAUGCACAUGUAGUCAGGCUUGACUCUAUAGUUCCAGGAAUUUUGUCAGCAUGCAAACAAUUUAUUAUACGGUCAACAGAAUUACAAAAGAAAUGUUUUGCUUGAAUGUAUUACCAAGUGUCAUUGUUAUAGAAGUAAAUCCAAAGUUAUAAGAAUGACGCAUCUUUGCCAUGUUCUGCCAGGUUUUUACAUUCUCUGUGUUUGUGUCUUGAGAUAUGGUAAAAGUAUAUAUGAUGUGUAUGUUGAUGAAAUAAAAGGUAUAGGCAAUUG